GACGAACGCUGGCGGCGUGCCUAAUACAUGCAAGUAGAACGCAGUUACGAACGGGUGAGUAAGGGGUAGUUAACUGCCGCAUACCAGGGGAUAACUAUUGGAAACGAUAGCUAAUACCUCAUACUUUGAGAUGGACCUGCGUUGUAUUAGCUAGUUGGUUAGGUAAAGGCUCACCAAGGCGACGAUACAUGGCCGACCCGAGAGGGGGAUUGGCCAAACCGGGACUGAGAACCGGCCCAGACUCCUAAGGGGGGCAGCAGGAGGGAAUUUUUGGCAAUGGACGGAAGUCUGACCGAGCAAAGCCGCGGGAGUUAAGAAGGUUUUCGGAUCCUAAAGCUUUGUUGUUAGGGAAGCGGUAACUAACCAGAAAGGGACGGCUAACUACGUGCCAGCAGCCGCGGUAAUAC
rnacentral:rRNA from 1 species